AAACGAAAAUAACUGCAGUGGCCAUGCCAGAUGGAUGCUGUGAUCUGAAGCCCUGGAUUAAAACUAUAUCCAACCAUCUAUACUGGUGCGGUUCUUCUACACCCAGUGGAGACCAGCAUAUGAUGCUGGCUAAAUGGAAGUCCCUUGGACAUACAAAAUAUUCACACAGGUCAUGGACCAAACUUCCCCAAAUGUAUCCAUGAAAACUUGGAAGAGAAUGCAGCACAUAGAAAGAAGUGGCUUAAACAAGAUUCCAAAAGUUGUGGAAAACGUGUCAAGAUAAUAGAAAACACACGCUUGUGUAAUGACAUCAAACAGCUUAGCCCUCUUCACCAGACUUCAAAUGUGGAGGCCUUCCAUGUGCUUAUAACCCAUGUCUGCCCCAAGAUGACAGCAUUCAGUUACAAAGAAUGAUGUGCAGUUUCCAGACUUUAUCUGACAGCAUUACACUUCAAUGAAAACAGCAAUCGCCCAGCUGCAACAAAAAAAAACCGGACAAAUCGCAUACACAGUGAGUUCCCCAAAUUUAAGAAAGGUGGAUACACAGUGAAAGAAAGAAAAACACCACCAACAUAUGCUAGGGUACAUUGACAAACUGAUGACCAUGCUGUGUGAUGGAGUGAUCUCAAAUCCAUCAGAAUUUUCCUCUAUUCUGGACUCUAUAAACAUUCACAGCUUUUUGUGUUCUAACUUUGAUCGACAAGAUAUGGAAGAAGCCAUAGCUACACACACAGUACAAGGUUUAAUCUACCGGUAGUGCAGGCAUUUAA